rnacentral:rRNA from 1 species
GACGAACGCUGGCGGCGCGCUUAACACAUGCAAGUCGAACGGAAAGGCCUGCUUUCCCUUGUGGAUUGCGGGUACUCGAGUGGCGAACGGGUGAGUAACACGUGAGUGAUCUGCCCCCAACUUGGGUAUAAGCCUGGGAAACUGGGUCUAAUUCCCGAUAGGACUGCAGGGUGGUGCCUGUGGUGGAAAACGAUUUUCUAGUGGUUGGGGAUGAGCUCGCGGCCUAUCAGCUUGGUGGUGGGGUAAUGGCCUACCAAGGCGGCGACGGGUAGCCGGCCUGAGAGGGGGGACGGCCACAUUGGGACUGAGAUACGGCCCAGACUCCUACGGGAGGCAGCAGUGGGGAAUAUUGCACAAUGGGCGGAAGCCUGAUGCAGCGACGCCGCGUGGGGGAUGACGGCCUUCGGGUUGUAAACUCCUUUCGACCGCGAGGAAGCCACCUGGUUGGAAGGGUGGUGACGGUAGUGGUAGAAGAAGCACCGGCUAACUACGUG